ACCCUCACCCCUUCACCACCCAUCGCCGACCACCCCUUACCUCGCCACCGCCAUCACACAGCAGAUUUAUUCCACAAUCCCACCAUAUCUCACUUCAAAUUCGGAGUUUCACUUGGGGAAUCAACAUACAACCGAAAAUUUUUCUUAUUUUUCUCUUGUUUCUCACCAAUCCAAGGUAUGUCCUCCUGCAAAGCUGUUCUUAAUGUCACGUGCAGGAACUUCAAGUCGGACCAACAGGAAACGAGGCUGAGACACUCGCUCAGGAAAGGGCCCAGUGGGACACAGGCGGGUGAUGAGGUGUUGGAUGAUGCGGAGUAGAGCGAGGAUGCAGCGAGGAGGACAGCUUAUAUCUUUUGUUUAUUUUUAUCUUUAUGCUGUUUUUAAUCCUCGUCUAUUGGUUUGUACUUAAAUACAUUAAACAAGUUGGUUGGGAUUUUGGGGUUGGUUGAUAUAAUUGUGGAUGGUUGUUGAACGUGAUAUUAUAUAUUAUCUUUUGCUAGUGUUUGGUGUUUGCGUGAUUAGGUUGGUAUUUGUAGCCGCUUUCGUUCGCGUGUCCGAGGUUAGGAGUUGUUUGCUGAGCACGUAUCGAAUUGGAGGGCUUAUGUGGAAACGACUGGCACUUUGACAGUCUCACAUACUCAGCUAAGUCGUUUCCCUUUUUGUUGUUGUACAUUUUUUUAUUUAUUUCGUUUGCAGUUUUUAUUUUUAGGUUGUUGUUGAGUCGUAUUUUCGUUCUUGCAUUAGGGACAAUGCAAUCUCUAAGUGUG
rnacentral:lncRNA from 1 species